GGAUGCGAUCAUACCAGCACUAAUGCACCGGAUCCCAUCAGAACUCCGAAGUUAAGCGUGCUUGGGCGAGAGUAGUACUAGGAUGGGUGACCCCCUGGGAAGUCCUCGUGUUGCAUCCC
rfam:Ipomoea nil DNA, scaffold: scaffold2263, cultivar: Tokyo-kokei standard.